rnacentral:rRNA from 1 species
UACGUAGGGGGCAAGCGUUGUCCGGAAUCAUUGGGCGUAAAGCGCGUGUAGGCGGCCCGGUAAGUCCGCUGUGAAAGUCGGGGGCUCAACCCUCGAAUGCCGGUGGAUACUGUCGGGCUAGAGUGCGGAAGAGGCGAGUGGAAUUCCUGGUGUAGCGGUGAAAUGCGCAGAUAUCAGGAGGAACACCGGUGGCGAAGGCGGGUCUCUGGGCUGACACUGACGCUCAUGCACGAAAGCGUGGGGAGCAAACAGG